rnacentral:rRNA from 1 species
UACGUAGGGUGCGAGCGUUGUCCGGAAUUACUGGGCGUAAAGAGCUCGUAGGUGGUUUGUCGCGUUGUUCGUGAAAACUCACAGCUCAACUGUGGGCGUGCGGGCGAUACGGGCAGACUGGAGUACUGCAGGGGAGACUGGAAUUCCUGGUGUAGCGGUGGAAUGCGCAGAUAUCAGGAGGAACACCGGUGGCGAAGGCGGGUCUCUGGGCAGUAACUGACGCUGAGGAGCGAAAGCGUGUGGAGCGAACAGG